GUCCAGGGAUGGGAAUCGAACACACAGUGUUCCGCUUACGGAGCAGAUGCCAUGUCCACUAGGUUACCCUGGA
rnacentral:tRNA from 1 species